AGAGUUUGAUUAUGGCUCAGGAUGAACGCUAGCUACAGGCUUAACACAUGCAAGUCGAGGGGCAGCAUCGCGAUAGCUUGCUAUUGCGGAUGGCGACCGGCGCACGGGUGAGUAACGCGUAUCCAACCUUCCCGCAACUGGGGAAUAACCUUGCGAAAGUAAGACUAAUACCCCAUGGUCUCCACGGAUGGCAUCUGAAAUGGAGUAAAGGUUUCGGCCGGUUGCGGAUGGGGAUGCGUCCGAUUAGCUUGACGGCGGGGUAACGGCCCACCGUGGCAUCGAUCGGUAGGGGUUCUGAGAGGAAGGUCCCCCACAUUGGAACUGAGACACGGUCCAA
rnacentral:rRNA from 1 species